UAAUGUGUGGGGAUCUGCCCGAUAGAGGGGGAUAACUACUGGAAACGGUGGCUAAUACCGCAUAAUGUCUACGGACCAAAGCAGGGGCUCUUCGGACCUUGCACUAUCGGAUGAACCCAUAUGGGAUUAGCUAGUAGGUGGGGUAAAGGCUCACCUAGGCGACGAUCUCUAGCUGGUCUGAGAGGAUGAUCAGCCACACUGGGACUGAGACACGGCCCAG
rnacentral:rRNA from 1 species